rnacentral:rRNA from 1 species
GAUAAACGCUGGCGGCGUGCCUAACACAUGCAAGUCGAACGAUGAAAAUUAAAAGAUUUCUUCGGAAUGAACUUAAUUGGAUUAGUGGCGGACGGGUGAGUAACGCGUGAGUAACCUGCCUUGUACAAGGGGAUAGCCGUUGGAAACGACGAAUAAUACCCUAUGACAUCAAAUAAUCGCAUGAUAAUUUGAUCAAAGAUUUAUCGGUAUAAGAUGGACUCGCGUCUGAUUAGCUAGUUGGUAGAGUAAAAGCCUACCAAGGCAACGAUCAGUAGCCGGCUUGAGAGAGUGUACGGCCACAUUGGGACUGAGACACGGCCCAGACUCCUGCGGGAGGCAGCAGUGGGGAAUUUUGCACAAUGGGGGAAACCCUGAUGCAGCGACGCCGCGUGAUUUAGAAGGCCUUCGGGUUGUAAAAAUCUUUUGUAUGGGAAGAAAAUGACAUUACCAUACGAAUAAGGACCGGCUAAUUACGUG